rnacentral:rRNA from 1 species
UACGUAGGGGGCAAGCGUUGUCCGGAAUCAUUGGGCGUAAAGCGCGUGUAGGCGGUUUCGUAAGUCUGCUGUGAAAGUCGGAGGCUCAACCUUCGAAAGCCGGUGGAUACUGUGAGACUUGAGUACGGAAGAGGAGAGUGGAAUUCCUGGUGUAGCGGUGAAAUGCGCAGAUAUCAGGAGGAACACCGAUGGAGAAGGCAGGUCUCUGGGCCAUAACUGACGCUGAGAAGCGAAAGCAUGGGGAGCGAACAGG